GGCGCCGCGCCGCUCCUCUAGUCUCCACUUUCAAAUCUGAAAAAAAAAAACCUUCUCUCUUUCUUCUCCACGCACGCCGCGCCUGCAGCUUGCAUCUCUUCUCCAUCGCGGCACUGCCUGUCGCCACUCGCCAGCAGCUAACAUCGCUCGUCCCCAGUCGCCAGCACCCCGCCGCAGCGUCGCCUCUCCUCCAUCUGCCGUCUGCUAAUGUCGCUCGUCGCCCGCCGCCAGUCGCCAGUACCCCGCAGCGGCGUCGCCCUCUCCUCCAUCUGCCGUCUGCUAGCAGGAAGAUGGAUGCUCCAAAUUUAGUAGAGCAUACACCUCAAGAAGAUUAGAUUAGAGAGAAAGAGCAUGAAGUGGAG